rnacentral:rRNA from 1 species
CCUACGGGUGGCAGCAGUGGGGAAUAUUGCACAAUGGGCGCAAGCCUGAUGCAGCCAUGCCGCGUGUGUGAAGAAGGCCUUCGGGUUGUAAAGCACUUUCAGCGGGGAGGAAGGCGGUGAGGUUAAUAACCUCAUCGAUUGACGUUACCCGCAGAAGAAGCACCGGCUAACUCCGUGCCAGCAGCCGCGGUAAUACGGAGGGUGCAAGCGUUAAUCGGAAUUACCGGGCGUAAAGCGCACGCAGGCGGUCUGUCAAGUCGGAUGUGAAAUCCCCGGGCUCAACCUGGGAACUGCAUUCGAAACUGGCAGGCUAGAGUCUUGUAGAGGGGGGUAGAAUUCCAGGUGUAGCGGUGAAAUGCGUAGAGAUCUGGAGGAAUACCGGUGGCGAAGGCGGCCCCCUGGACAAAGACUGACGCUCAGGUGCGAAAGCGUGGGGAGCAAACAGGAUUAGAUACCCGUGUAGUC